rnacentral:rRNA from 1 species
UACAGGGGGGGCAAGCGUUGUUCGGAAUUACUGGGCGUAAAGGGCUCGUAGGCGGCCAACUAAGUCCGACGUGAAAUCCCAAAGCUUAACUUUGGAAUUGCGUCGGAUACUGGAUGGCUUGAAUUCGGGAGAGGGAUGCAGAAUUCCAGGUGUAGCGGUGAAAUGCGUAGAUAUCUGGAGGAAUACCGGUGGCGAAGGCGGCAUCCUGGACCGACAUUGACGCUGAGGAGCGAAAGCUAGGGGAGCAAACGGG